rnacentral:rRNA from 1 species
GCGUGGCUUCCGGAGCUAACGCGUUAAGUCGACCGCCUGGGGAGUACGGCCGCAAGGUUAAAACUCAAAUGAAUUGACGGGGGCCCGCACAAGCGGUGGAGCAUGUGGUUUAAUUCGAUGCAACGCGAAGAACCUUACCUGGCCUUGACAUCCAGAGAACUUAGCAGAGAUGCUUUGGUGCCUUCGGGAACUCUGAGACAGGUGCUGCAUGGCUGUCGUCAGCUCGUGUUGUGAAAUGUUGGGUUAAGUCCCGCAACGAGCGCAACCCUUAUCCUUUGUUGCCAGCGGCUCGGCCGGGAACUCAAAGGAGACUGCCGGUGAUAAACCGGAGGAAGGUGGGGAUGACGUCAAGUCAUCAUGGCCCUUACGGCCAGGGCUACACACGUGCUACAAUGGCGCAUACAAAGAGAAGCGACCUCGCGAGAGCAAGCGGACCUCAUAAAGUGCGUCGUAGUCCGGAUUGGAGUCUGCAACUCGACUCCAUGAAGUCGGAAUCGCUAGUAAUCGUAGAUCAGAAUGCUACGGUGAAUACGUUCC